rnacentral:rRNA from 1 species
UACGGAGGGUGCAAGCGUUAUCCGGAUUCACUGGGUUUAAAGGGUGCGUAGGAGGAAAGGUAAGUCAGUGGUGAAAUCUCCAAGCUUAACUUGGAAACUGCCGUUGAUACUAUCUUUCUUGAAUACCGUGGAGGUGAGCGGAAUAUGUCAUGUAGCGGUGAAAUGCUUAGAUAUGACAUAGAACACCAAUUGCGAAGGCAGCUCACUACACAAUUAUUGACUCUGAGGCACGAAAGCGUGGGGAUCAAACAGG